rnacentral:rRNA from 1 species
UAAUACGGAGGGUGCAAGCGUUGUUCGGAAUCACUGGGCGUAAAGCGUGUGUAGGCGGCUUUGUAAGUCGGAUGUGAAAGCCCUGGGCUUAACCCAGGAACUGCAUUCGAUACUGCAGAGCUUGAGUAUGGGAGAGGGAAGCGGAAUUCCUGGUGUAGCGGUGAAAUGCGUAGAUAUCAGGAGGAACACCCGUGGCGAAAGCGGCUUCCUGGCCCAUUACUGACGCUGAGACACGAAAGCAUGGGGAGCAAACAGGAUUAGAUACCCUGGUAGUCCAUGCCGUAAACGAUGAGUGCUAGGUGUUGGAGGUGUUGACCCCUUCAGUGCCGACGCUAACGCAUUAAGCACUCCGCCUGGGGAGUACGGUCGCAAGAUUA